rnacentral:sRNA from 1 species
GUUCUGGCUCCUUGGCAGCAAUGGCUGUAUUUGAAGAUAAGUUUAGGCCAGACAUGGAGAGACGUGACCUGAAAAUGGAGGCAGUUUUAAAAAUCCCUGUAGAUGAUUCUGCAUCUGGCAGAAGAUGGGGACAAGACCACACAUGUGGGGGAAUCAUCUCAGAGCGUAAUGAUCUAGUGUCUCAGAUACAUGACAAAUGCACAGCUCUUCCAUGGUCACUGUCGCAGGAAUGUUGAAUAUGCCUGGAUCCAUCAUGGUACCACGUUACUCCUCCACGGCACUACAUCUGGCCGCUAAACCAGCAUUCAGCACAUAAGCUUUUUUGAUGGUUGUUAAUUUUUUGAUGGAGAGUAUCAACUUCUUUUCAACAAUUAAUAGGUAGUUUAUGAGUGGUUUACCCUAUUUCUUAGUAUGUAGGUUUUUGCCAUUUCUGACUUCGCAGUAUUGUUUAGGGACCAGAGGGUGUCUCUGGGAAUUGCUUUUUGACAGUGCCUUAUGUCCAGUCAUCUUUGGAAAAGAUUGCUUAUUAAAAAUAUUUUGUUCUUC